rnacentral:tRNA from 1 species
AAAAUAGAAUAAAUUUGACUUCGAAUCAAAUAAUGACUUAAGUCCUAUUUUA